GAUGAACGCUGGCGGCGUGCUUAACACAUGCAAGUCGAACGAUGAAGCCCAGCUUGCUGGGUGGAUUAGUGGCGAACGGGUGAGUAACACGUGAGUAACCUGCCCUUAACUCUGGGAUAAGCCUGGGAAACUGGGUCUAAUACCGGAUAGGAGCGUCCACCGCAUGGUGGGUGUUGGAAAGAUUUAUCGGUUUUGGAUGGACUCGCGGCCUAUCAGCUUGUUGGUGAGGUAAUGGCUCACCAAGGCGACGACGGGUAGCCGGCCUGAGAGGGUGACCGGCCACACUGGGACUGAGACACGGCCCAGACUCCUACGGGAGGCAGCAGUGGGGAAUAAUGCACAAUGGGCGAAAGCCUGAUGCAGCGACGCCGCGUGAGGGAUGACGGCCUUCGGGUUGUAAACCUCUUUCAGUAGGGAAGAAGCGAAAGUGACGGUACCUGCAGAAGAAGCACCGGCUAACUACGUG
rnacentral:rRNA from 1 species